rnacentral:rRNA from 1 species
GACGAACGCUGGCGGCGUGCUUAACACAUGCAAGUCGAACGAUGAACCCGGAGCUUGCUCCGGUGGAUUAGCGGCGAACGGGUGAGUAACACGUGAGUAACCUGCCCUUGACUCUGGGAUAACUGCGGGAAACUGUAGCUAAUACCGGAUACGACCCUCGGCGGCAUCGCCAGGGGGUGGAAAGAAUUUCGGUCAAGGAUGGACUCGCGGCCUAGCAGCUAGUUGGUGAGGUAACGGCUCACGAAGGCGAAGACGGGUAGCCGGGCUGAGAGGGUGACCGGCCACCCUGGGACUGAGACACGGCCCAGACUCCUACGGGAGGGAGCAGUGGGGAAUAUUGCACAAUGGGCGCAAGCCUGAUGCAGCAACGCCGCGUGAGGGAUGACGGCCUUCGGGUUGUAAACCUCUUUUAGUAGGGAAGAAGCGAAAGUGACGGUACCUGCAGAAAAAGCACCGGCUAACUACGUGCCAGCCGCCGCGGUAA